UACGUAGGGGGCAAGCGUUGUCCGGAAUUACUGGGCGUAAAGGGCGCGUAGGCGGUCUGCUAAGUUGGAUGUGAAAACUCUGGGCUUACCCAGAGCCUGCAUUCAAUACUGACAGGCUAGAGUUCUGGAGGGGAUAGCGGAAUUCCUGGUGUAGCGGUGAAAUGCGUAGAUAUCAGGAGGAACACCGGUGGCGAAGGCGGCUAUCUGGACAGAGUCUGACGCUGAGGCGCGAAAGCUAGGGGAGCAAACAGG
rnacentral:rRNA from 1 species